rnacentral:tRNA from 1 species
GCCUGGGUGGCUCGGUUGGUAGAGCAUGCAACUCUCAAUCCCAGGGUUGUGAGUUCAAGCCUCACGUUGGGUG